GAUGAAGAACGUAGCGAAAUGCGAUACUUGGUGUGAAUUGCAGAAUCCCGUGAACCAUCGAGUCUUUGAACGCAAGUUGCGCCCGAAGCCACUAGGCCGAGGGCACGCCUGCCUGGGCGUCACACGCCGUUGCCCCCCCAUCUACUCCUUCGGGAUUGCGGGGGGGCGGAUGAUGGCCUCCCGUGCGCCUAGCCGCGCGGUUGGCAUAAAUACCAAGUCCUCGGCGACGCACGCCACGACAAUCGGUGGUUGCGAAACCUCGGUUGCCCGUCGUGUGCGUUCGUCGCGCAUCGAGGGCUCGAAAAAAUGCUCGGCUCCGGCUGGGCUUUCAACGCGACCCCAGGUCAGGCGGGGCUACCCGCUGAGUUUAAGCAUAUCAAUAAGCGGAGGA
rnacentral:misc_RNA from 1 species